rnacentral:rRNA from 1 species
GACGAACGCUGGCGGCGUGCCUAAUACAUGCAAGUAGAACGCUGAAGGAGGAGCUUGCUUCUCUGGAUGAGUUGCGAACGGGUGAGUAACGCGUAGGUAACCUGCCUGGUAGCGGGGGAUAACUAUUGGAAACGAUAGCUAAUACCGCAUAAGAGUAGAUGUUGCAUGACAUUUGCUUAAAAGGUGCAAUUGCAUCACUACCAGAUGGACCUGCGUUGUAUUAGCUAGUUGGUGGGGUAACGGCUCACCAAGGCGACGAUACAUAGCCGACCUGAGAGGGUGAUCGGCCACACUGGGACUGAGACACGGCCCAGACUCCUACGGGAGGCAGCAGUAGGGAAUCUUCGGCAAUGGACGGAAGUCUGACCGAGCAACGCCGCGUGAGUGAAGAAGGUUUUCGGAUCGUAAAGCUCUGUUGUAAGAGAAGAACGAGUGUGAGAGUGGAAAGUUCACACUGUGACGGUAUCUACCA